rnacentral:rRNA from 1 species
CAGAGACUGCAAGCGUUAUUCGGAUUCACUGGGCGUAAAGGGUGCGCAGGCGGCCAAGUGUGUGAGGCGUGAAAGCCUGGAGCUUAACUCCAGAAUUGCACCUCAAACUACAUGGCUAGAGCAUUGGAGAGGGUAGCAGAAUUCAUGGUGUAGCAGUGAAAUGCGUAGAUAUCAUGAGGAAUACCAGAGGCGAAGGCGGCUACCUGGACAAUUGCUGACGCUCAGGCACGAAAGCGUGGGGAGCAAAAGGGAUUAGAUACCCCUGUAGUCCACGCCCUAAACGGUGCACACUAGGUCUUGGCGGAUUCGACCCCACCAGGGCCCAAGCUAACGCGUUAAGUGUGCCGCCUGAGGACUACGGUCGCAAGACUA